GAUGAACGCUAGCUACAGGCUUAACACAUGCAAGUCGAGGGGCAGCAUGAACAUAGCUUGCUAUGUUUGAUGGCGACCGGCGCACGGGUGCGUAACACGUAUCCAAUCUGCCCGUUACUCGGGGAUAGCCUUCUGAAAGGAAGAUUAAUACCCGAUGGCAUUUAUUGGCGGCAUCUCUUUUGAAUUAAAGAUUUAUCGGUAACGGAUGAGGUUGCGUACGAUUAGCUGGUUGGCGGGGUAACGGCCCACCAAGGCAACGAUCGUUAGGGGUUCUGAGAGGAAGGUCCCCCACACUGGAACUGAGACACGGUCCAGACUCCUACGGGAGGCAGCAGUGAGGAAUAUUGGUCAAUGGGCGAGAGCCUGAACCAGCCAAGUAGCGUGAAGGAUGACUGCCCUACGGGUUGUAAACUUCUUUUGUUUGGGAAGAAAAGACGCUACGUGUAGCGUUCUGCAUGUACCUUACGAAUAAGCAUCGGCUAAUUCCGUGCCAGCCGCCGCUGUAAUAC
rnacentral:rRNA from 1 species